rnacentral:rRNA from 1 species
UAGGGAAUCUUCCACAAUGGACGCAAGUCUGAUGGAGCAACGCCGCGUGAGUGAAGAAGGUUUUCGGACCGUAAAGCUCUGUUGUUGGUGAAGAAGGAUAGAGGUAGUAACUGGCCUUUAUUUGACGGUAAUCAACCAGAAAGUCACGGCUAACUACGUGCCAGCAGCCGCGGUAAUACGUAGGUGGCAAGCGUUGUCCGGAUUUAUUGGGCGUAAAGCGAGCGCAGGCGGAAGAAUAAGUCUGAUGUGAAAGCCCUCGGCUUAACCGAGGAAUUGCAUCGGAAACUGUUUUCUUGAGUGCAGAAGAGGAGAGUAGAACUCCAUGUGUAGCGGUGGAAUGCGUAGAUAUAUGGAAGAAUACCAGUGGCGAAGGCGGCUCUCUGGUCUGCAACUGACGCUGAGGCUAGAAAGCAUGGGUAGCGAACAGGAUUAGAUACCCUGGUAGUCCAUGCCGUAAACGAUGAGUGCUAAGUGUUGGGAGGCUUCCGCCUCUCAGUGCUGCAGCUAACGCAUUAAGCACUCCGCCUGGGGGAGUACGACCGCAAGGUUGAAAC